UACGGGGGGGGCAAGCGUUGUUCGGAAUUACUGGGCGUAAAGGGCUCGUAGGCGGCCAACUAAGUCGGAUGUGAAAUCCCCAGGCUUAACCUGGGAACUGCAUCCGAUACUGGAUGGCUUGAAUUCGGGAGAGGGAUGCAGAAUUCCAGGUGUAGCGGUGAAAUGCGUAGAUAUCUGGAGGGAUACCGGUGGCGAAGGCGGCAUCCUGGACCGACAUUGACGCUGAGGAGCGAAAGCUAGGGGAGCAAACGGG
rnacentral:rRNA from 1 species